rnacentral:lncRNA from 1 species
UUAAAGGUCAUAGAGCCAUGGGAUGGUUGGGUUGGAAGGGCCCUUAAAGAUCAUAGAGCCGUGGGAUAGUUGGGUUGGAACGGUCCUUAAAGACCAUAGAACUAUGGCAUCGCUGGUUUGGAAGGGUCCUUAAAGAUCACAGAACCACAGGAUGGUUCAGCUGGAAGGGUCCUUAAAGGUCAUAGUACCACGGGAUGUUUGGGUUGGAAGGGUCCUUAAAGGUCAUAGAGCCGUGGGAUGGUUGGGUUGGAAGGGUCCUUAAAGAUCAUAGAGCCGUGGAAUAGUUGGGUUGGAAGGGUCCUUAAAGACUAUAGAACUAUGGCAUCGCUGGUUUGGAAGGGUCCUUAAAGGUCAUAGAGCCAUGGGAUGGUUGGGUUGGAAGGGUCCUUAAAGGUCAUAGUACCAUGGGAUGGUUGGGUUGGAAGGGUCCUUAAAGAUCAUAUAGCCAAAGAGUGGUUGGGACGGAAGGGUCCUUAAAGAUUGAAGAACCACUGAAAGGGUUGGGUUGCUAGGGUCCUUAAAGAUCAAAGAACCACAACACGGGUGCUGGGCUCUGGGUGCCGAUCCGCUUUGUUUCUGGAGGUCACUGCUGCGUUGUAUCCGGCGCGGUGCGUCCCGUCGGCUCCAUCGCGGCGUGGCCAUGCCGCGGCCGUAAUGCGCUUGUUCCUCCUGCAGCCAACAGACACACGGACAUCGGUGACAUCAGCCAGCACCUGGAUACCAUGCAGCUCGGCGAUGUUUUUGGUCACCCGGCGGCACCCGCCGCCGCUUCUCUGCCCUCCCCGGUGCCGGCGGGCUGGUCGUGUCCGAAAUGCACCUACAUCAACAAACCCACGCGGCCCGGCUGCGAGAUGUGCAGCACCGACCGCCCUCCCGACUACGUGGUGCCCGGCGGCUACGAACCGGACGAGAUGGAGCUGUGGAGGAUGCAGCAGGAGCAGGAGGGGAUGCUGCAGUACCAGCAGACGCUGGAGGCGGAGCGGCUGCAGAACUUCCAACAGCUGCUGCAGCUGGAGCAGGAGGGGCUGGUGCCCAACCAGGAGGCGAUGGAGUGCCGCAUCUGCUACCAGCACCUCCCCCCGGGCCAGGGGGUGCUGCUGCGCGAGUGUCUGCACAGCUUCUGCCGGUACGGCGCAUGGGAGGUGCGGGGAGCCCGACCCCGAACCCCCACCCGCGGUGACGGCGCCUCUCCCGCAGGGACUGCUUGCGCCAGGUGAUCAACUACAGCGAGGAGCCGGCGGUGGCGUGCCCCUACCGCGACGACUCCUACGCCUGCAGCAGCCACCUCCAGGAGCGCGAGAUCCGCGCGGUCAGUGCCCAGAGCUCGGCCAGCGGGGCGAGGGAGGGGCUGCUUGGCCAGCGGUUGACCAGUGGUUGACCAGUGGUUGACCGUGAGCCAGCAGUCACCCAACCAUUGGCCAGCAGUUGACCAGUUUGUCACCAAUGGUUGAUCAGUUUGUCACCAAGGGUUGACCAACAGUUGGCCAACAGUUGACCGUGAGCCAGCAGUCACCCAACCGUUGACCAGUGGUUCACCAAUGGUUCACCAGUGGUUGACCAGUGGUUCGACAAUGGUUGACCAACUGUUGGCCAACAGUUGACCAUGAACAAGCAGCCAACCAACCAUUGGCCAGGGGCUGACUAGUGGUUCACCAGUGGUUGACCAGUUUGUUGCCAGCGGUUGACCUA